rnacentral:misc_RNA from 1 species
GAUGAAGAACGCAGCGAAAUGCGAUAAGUAAUGUGAAUUGCAGAAUUCAGUGAAUCAUCGAAUCUUUGAACGCACAUUGCGCCCGCCAGUAUUCUGGCGGGCAUGCCUGUUCGAGCGUCAUUUCAACCAUCAAGCCCCCGGCUUGUGUUGGGGACCUGCGGCUGCCGCAGGCCCUGAAAACCAGUGGCGGGCUCGCUAGUCACUCCGAGCGUAGUAAUACAUCUCGCUCAGGGCGUGCUGCGGGUUCCGGCCGUUAAAAAGCCUUAUUUACCCAAGGUUGACCUCGGAUCAGGUAGGAAGACCCGCCGAACUUAAGCAUAUCAAUAAGCGGAGGA